CUGUGUGUGUACUUGUACACCAGACAGAGGGAUGUGACAGUGUUCACAAAGAUCAAGAGCACAGUAGCAAUCUGCGAUUUACACUGUCUGCUAUUGAUGACAACAACACAACACCUGGUGUGCCCCAUAUGUCUGCUAAUGUGAGAGGAUACAACAAACAUAAUGGAGAAUAGACGCUGGCAGCAGAAGACAAACACUUCUCCCUUUUGCGUUUCAAACAUGCAGGAUUAAUAUCAAGACUGAUGGGGGUGUUUAGGCUAACAGGCAAAGAUCAGAAGUGUGCAGAGUCGGAGGAGUGAGCACAUCAGGCAGGAUGAAAAGAUCAUCCUGUAUUUAUGAAAAAAAAACAAGAGAAGAGAAGAAGAGCUAAUGAGAAAUCAACACAAAUAAACAACUUUGCUAAUAAACAGUAAUAAUGAAUAAUAAAAGAACACAGUA